rnacentral:misc_RNA from 1 species
AAUACUUGAAAGCUCCGAUUCAACCUUCUGUCUAUACCCUUUGAUCCGCUUCACAUUUUGGUCAUUUCCCUUAGCUUCCACCUUUUGUUCAAUCGAUGAUAAGAUCCUCCAUGACGCUCUACGCGCACUUAUCACGUUCUUGUACCCCACAGAGAGUAGGUUUCUUUCCUCUACUGUCAAUUCUACAUCGAGUUUAGCUACUUUCUUCAUGGUAUCCACCAUUUCGUCAUAGCGUUCGGCUUGCUCAGCGAGCUUGGCGAUGAAGACAAGGUUCUCUCGUUCAUUGGAGGAAGCCAUUGAUUAUUGGUAGAUUCACUCAGUUUCUCGCUCUAACACUUUCUCUAUCUAGA